rnacentral:rRNA from 1 species
UACGUAGGGUCCGAGCGUUGUCCGGAAUUAUUGGGCGUAAAGGGCUCGUAGGCGGUUCGUCACGUCGGGAGUGAAAACUCGGGGCUUAACCCCGAGCCUGCUUCCGAUACGGGCAGACUAGAGGUAGGCAGGGGAGAGCGGAACUCCUGGUGUAGCGGUGGAAUGCGCAGAUAUCAGGAAGAACACCGGUGGCGAAGGCGGCGAGCUGGACCCUUUCUGACGCUGAGGCGCGAAAGCCAGGGGAGCGAACGGG